rnacentral:rRNA from 1 species
UACCCCACUAUGCCAAGUCGUAAAAAAUCAACUCACACAAUCAACGCCAGGGUAUUACGAGCUUCAGCUUAAAACCCAAAGGACUUGACGGUGUCCCACCCCACUAGAGGAGCCUGUUCUAUAAUCGAUAAUCCACGUUAUACCCAACCAUUUUUUGCCUUUCAGCCUGUAUACCUCCGUCGCAAACUUACCAUAUGAGUGAACAACAGUAGGUUUAAUAGCUCAAACACUACAACGUCAGGUCAAGGUGCAGCUCACAAAAUGGAUAGCAAUGGGCUACAAUUUCUAAGCUAGAACAAACGAAUUACUGCAUGAAAUAUAGUCAUGAAGGCGGAUUUAGUAGUAAGUAGGRAMMRRRRRSCCCUACUGAAUCCGGCUCUGGGACGUGUACACACC